rnacentral:tRNA from 1 species
UCUUCCUGUCGCCUAAUCUGGUUAUGGCACUGCGUUUGGGAGGCAGAACAAUCUCUGUUGCAAUUAGAGCAGGAAGAA